UACAGAGGUGGCAAGCGUUGUUCGGAAUUACUGGGCGUAAAGGGCGCGUAGGCGGCGUGUCAAGUCAGGCGUGAAAGCCCCGGGCUCAACCUGGGAACCGCGCUUGAGACUGGCAUGCUAGAGUCCGGAAGAGGAGAGUGGAAUUCCUGGUGUAGCGGUGAAAUGCGUAGAUAUCGGGAGGAACACCAGUGGCGAAGGGCGGACUCACUGGCCCGGUACUGACGCUG
rnacentral:rRNA from 1 species